AUGCCAUCAGGAGAAACACUUGUGAAGUUAAACAAUGAUGGGGUGAUGGGACUCCAAAAAAAGUUGGAAAUUCUUGAUGUAAUAAGGUCGUACUGCUAAGAGUAAAGGAAGAAGUGACUUGUCUUUAUGAUGACUAAUUUGACAAUCGCAGGGCUUCAUUUGGUUGCUGUUGCCAAAGGAGGAGGGAGGAGGAAGAAAAGACAGGGAGAUAAGGGGCGGAGGGAGAGCUGCCUCGGUUGUGACAGUUCUACUAGACCGUAAAUUAAGCUAAUUAUUAGUAUCAGCUGUUACUUAUUAUUUAAUUCAGUAGCACCACUCUGUAAUUCUACAACUCGUAAGUUGGCACAGCGUUUUGUAAUGGAGUUGUAUAAAGAUCCUAUAUAAAAUUCAGCUUACUAUUCUUGUUAUUAUAUUUAGGAGUCACCUGACCAAGCUGGCAUUGAUCAUGAAUUAAGAAGAUAAACUUAAGGAAGAGGCUGAGAGGAAGCCGAUGUUUGGCUAAAGGUUAAGUAGGAUGAAAUCUGCAAUAAAGCCAAAGCCCCAGGAUCCAGUUAUUUUACUCCCCUAUGCUCCCUCAGCUGUUGUUAUGUCUAUGUUACUGCAGCUAUCAGUCUGACUUAUGAUACAAUUAUUUAUGUAUCUGCAUCCAUCUCUUGCAUCAUAUUUCGUGCUGCUGGAGGAAAAGGAUAGUACUUCAUUUGGUGCAGUCUUUUGCAGAGAGAGAGGAGCAGAGACAGAGGGAGAGAGAGAAUCUCAAGCAGGCUCCAUACUGUCAGUGCAGAGCCUGAUGUGGAACAUGAUCCCAUGACCUCGAGGUGAUAAAUGAGGCCAUAACAAGAGUUGGAUGCUCAACCCACGGAGCCACCCAGGUGCCCUAUUACAGCUGUUUUAAUGUUUUUAUCUACUAAUUGUAUCACAUAUCUGCUUCUAUUGAUUGAUUGAUUUGUUUUCCUCAUGAUGGGUUGAAUUUCCUGCUUCAAUUUGCAUGCCUGGUGAAAAAAAAAGAAAUAUCAAUAAAAAUAGUAGAUUCCAGGCAUUAUGAAUUUCACAUUGUUGGAUGCUUGAUUUUUUCCCUUCUUCCCUUCCUUCCUUCUUCCCUUCCUCCUUGUCUUCCUUUCUCCCUUUCUUCCUCCAUUUCUUUCUUUCUUUCUGUCUGUCUUUCUGUAUUUCCUUUAAAUAUUUUUGAGUUAUGUUCUGGGACACAGUUAAGUUACUUGGAAACAGUUUGAUCCUUUUGAGUCUCGCCUUUAAACUCUAAAAGGAGCUGAGCAGCCUUUAGAACUAAGGGGUAAUUUAGCCUACUUAAAGAGGCAAUACUUCUCUGAUAUUCAAGCCAAUGCUCAAUGUGAUAGAAAGUUUUUCCAUUUAGGCUGUUGGGAAUGUGAACUAUUUCCAGCCCCGUGUGAAUGCUGGUAAUUGCUCCUUUCAGGUAUUUUACUGCUUGGCCUCAGGUAGUUUCCUUAAACAUGUAUGUUGAUUAGCACUCAGCUAAAGACUCACGAUGGGGAGCCCCUGCGGAUCUUCAGAACUCUCUUUGUGUGUAGCUUUCUUCUCUCUGGUAAUCUAUCCUACAAAUUCUGGCUGUCUUAGCCGAUCUGAGUUCUCACCUCUGUCUCUUCAACUCAGGAAAACUGCCAGGCUUUGUUGGGGUUCCCUUGCCUGUGCCGUAGCCUAGACUCUCUCCACGGGGUAAGCUGGGGUGAUUGUAGGUUCACCUCAUUUAAUUCUCUUCUUUCAAAGAUCACUGUCCUCUGCUGCAUGUUGUCCAAUAUCUAAAAACUAUUGUUAAUAUAUUUUGUUUGGUUCUCAUUUGUUUAAAUAAAGGGUAAAUCAGGUCUCUGUUAUUCUAUCAUGGCCACAAGUGAAAGUCACAGUUUUGACCUUUAACUGGGGAAUGGAGAGGUAUAUCAAACCAAUUUUGUGUCAGAAAAAUAAGCUAGAGUAUGACCAUGGCCCAGCCAUUUAUCCUCUUAGCUUUACUUUCCUUGUCUGUAAAGUGAAGAGGUUGGUCUAUAUGCUCAUGAAGUUCUUCUCUGGUUCUUAAAUUCUGUAAUUAUAUAAUUAAGCAUAGGUUUACCUUUGCCGAGAAAAUUGAUGUAUAGUCUUCAAAGUGAUAGUUUAAAGAUCCAGAUCUAUGGAACUUUCAUUUUGCCAUAAUAAAGUAAAUUUAGAUGAUUUCUUUUAAUAGAUGAAGAAGGAGUCUUAAGUUACAAGCUUAGGAAGGACAGUACAAAUCCCAUAGUGCACACCUGUGAAAUAACCACAAUUUGAAAAGGGGGAAAUGUAGAGGAAUAUUCUUGUUUCAUUAUUGUUACAGAGACUAGGUGUCAUGAAUUGGACAUAGUAAGUGGCCGGUAAAUAUCUGUUGAAUAUCUCAGUGGCACUUGAAGCCAUUUUCCUAACAGAGAAAAGUAAUUUAGAAAGCUUCCACUAUAGCAAAAGUUGGAAACAAACAAAAAAAAUCCAUCCAUAUUGGGAUUGGUUAGUGGUACAUCCAUGUAAUGAAACAUUAUACAACAAUAAAAAUACUGAAGCAGAGUGGUAUGCACUAAUACGGAAUGCUUUCAGAACUACGUUGUUAAAUUAAAAAAUGAGAUCACUCUAUAAAUUUUUAUACUCAUGUAUUUUCUAAUAAAAAAGACUUAAAAACGAGUUGAAAAAGCGAUGUGUAUAGUAGUAUAUUAUUUUACAUAAUAUACAUAUAUUAUGUAUAAAUAAAAUCUGUUUUAGGGCUAUAUAAUUAUCUAGAAAGGUACAGAAAUCGGCAUCUCUGGUGCCUCAGCAAAGGAGGACGAGGGGACAGUGUGGAGGAGGGACUCACUCUCCCUGUAGGCCCUUUUAUAUAUACCCUUUGGAUUUUUUAUCAUGUGAUACGUCAUCUCAUUUUAAAUGUGCUGCUACUUGAUACCUAUCCAUCUAUAUCUAUCUAUCUAUCUAUCUAUCCAUCCGUUAUCUAUCUACCUAUCUAUCUAAUAUUUUUUUCUUUUUCAGUAAAGUAACCAAAAUUCUCUAAAAAGUAUUAGCAGUCUGGGAAAAUGUUCCCAUUUCUAGAUUACUUGUUUAAAGGAGCCAGAUCACACCCACUUUUUUCUGCUAUUACUCCAGGGCACCUCUAUGGCUGUAAUUAAUUUCCUAUUCCUUAUGAAAAGAAUCAUCGUGGUAGAUACCUAAGUGACUGGCAUCUGGAGCAUCAUGCUUGUUUGAAUAUGGGUGUGUGAGAGAAAGAACAAGGCCAUUUGUUUUCAUGAUCCUAUAUAGUAUUUACGGCGUUUCAUUAACUUUUGUUCUCUAACCCACCCUUCUUUCUGGCUUCCAGAGGCGCUACCAAGAAAACACAGGAUGUAGGAGCUGAACAGUGAGGCUGUGUGAUUCACAAGACAUUAACUUGUAGCCAGCUUGCUCCUUUCCAGUGCCGCAGGUAAUGUGUAAAUAUGUUUGGAAGAGUGCAAUAACACCCAGAAAGUGGGGAUGCUUCCUAUUAUGUUUUAGGAAGAGAAUUACACGUCUGGCAAGCUAUCUUAAAAGAAUGACUUUUAGCCGUAACCUGUGUGUUCCUACGAGUGUCUGAUGUACUUCAUGUAAAAUGCACCCAACUAUUUCCUGGAGGAUAUUGGAAGAUAUUUGGAAACAUAUGUGCAAGUCCCAAAGUAAAAAUCCAAGGCUGAUGCAAGUCAGAAAAGGUGCUAGGGUUUGCUAUUACACAUGCCUAAGGCAUUUUCUUCUGACUCAGUUAUCUGCUUUAAAAUUUCUGGCGCUGUUGCUGGUUUUGAAUUCUUGAAAUGCCAAUAUAGCAAGGAGAUAGUGCCAGAAAGAUGCCUCAAAAAUCUAACUAGCCAAUAAAAAAAUAUGAAG